rnacentral:rRNA from 1 species
AAGGGCGUGUAGGCGGCUUAGCAAGUCAGAUGUGGAAGCCGCGGGCUCAACUCGGGGAGGACAUCUGAUACUGCUAAGCUAGAGGGCAGGAGAGGAGAGCGGAACUUCCGGUGUAGCGGUGAAAUGCGUAGAUAUCGGAAGGAACGCCGGUGGCGAAGGCGGCUCUCUGGACUGUCCCUGACGCUGAGGCGCGAAAGCUAGGGGAGCGAACGGGAUUAGAUACCCCGGUAGUCCUAGCCGUAAACGAUGGGCACUAGGUGUGGGGAGUUAGACUCUCCGUGCUGCAGCUAACGCGAUAAGUGCCCCGCCUGGGGAGUACGGCCGCAAGGCUAAAACUCAAAGGAAUUGACGGA